ensembl:lncRNA
GGCAGAGAGGGAAGGGGGGGGGGAAGUGCGGCCUCUUCCAUUGCAGCGCUGCAGUGGGGACAGAGCGGUGUCCCCCCAAAAAAUUGGACUCCCUCCCUCCCCCCCCCAAAGCUGAGCGCUGCGGACUGCCCCGUGGUGCUGAGGUAGGACGCUAUUGCCCCCCCUUGCACAAUUGGGACCCCCCACUCCACGUUUCCCCCCCCCCACAUACACCGGGACACCUCUGUGUCGUCGUCCCCCCACAGGGUGGUGUUUCAUGACGGUUGUGCACCACAGGCUUUGCACGAGUGUG